rnacentral:lncRNA from 1 species
ACAAGAACUUCUCAUUGUCCUCUUCGGCAAUUUUCACCAACCGCUCCACUAAAUUCUUCUUUUCCUGAAACCCAAGGUUGUGUAUAUCAACUUCACUGGCCUCACCCGCCGAACCCAUCAGCAAGCCUUUCCUCAUCCGAUUGUAGGUGGGAAGUUUCUCGAGGGCGGCCCAUUUCAAAGCUUCCUCAUCAUCUUCAUCCCUCGAAGAACGGGAGAAAACCUCCUCACCAGAGUUCCUCCAUAUGGAAGAACUGUCCUUCCUUAAACUACCACCGGCUCUAUAAAUUUCACCUGUUGCCAUUGCAACACGAAACGAGGAACCCUCCUGCAAAACCCACCAAAACCCAGAAACCUUUCCUACAAAUUAGGGAGAACAAACCCAAAUUUUGAACUCUAGAGCUGAAAAGCUCAAAAUAAGAGAUGGUUCCCCUCCCGCUUUUCCCUGUGCAUGCAAUUGAUUCCGUCUCUUUGUAUUGCUAAAACUUUGUUGUAUGUUGGAAAAACACGAAGAAUGGAAGGUUUAUAUACUGAUUGGAAGAACAGAAAAAUGAGGCCACCCAUAAUUUUCAAGACUACUAAACGUCUUCGUAAUCGCAAUCGUAACUGCUGUUGUAUGCAAAUGCCACGAUGUUUGACCCUUCAAAGUCUUAUUUCACAAUUCGUAAUUUUCAGAUUUCCAGUACCUUGUUUGUCAAGGAACUCAAUAAUCAUUAAAUGUUUCCCAACUGCCAAACCAACUAACUUUCCCGCCCGCCGAAAUUGCACUGUGAAAGAUUUAUAGCAUUUUAUUUAUACUCUAGUUUAAUGACAUGAGACUUUCGGUUUGGAUUGCCUAUAUUAUUUUUAGUAAUUUACCUUAUAUCUUUAAAAUUAUUUCAAAAAAAAAACCCAUAAUAUUAAUUAUUAUAUAAGUUGGAUUUAUUAAAUAUUAAAUAACAUAUAAAUUAAUAUUAAUCAUAAAUUCCCAUAAUAUUAAUAAUUACAAAAGAGUACAUUUAUCAAAAAUUAAAUAAUAUAUAAAUUAAUAUAAUUGUAUAAUCAAUUCUAAAUUACACAUUAUUUAAUUAAAUCUAAAAAUAUUUUUAAAAUAUCAAAAUCAAGCCCUAAAUAACUCACCACUUUUUAAAAAAUAUUUAAUAAAAUAUCAAUUAUUUAUCUUCUUAUUAUUUUUUUAUGAUAUAUAGUAGAAUUUAAAGUGAAAUUUUAAAUUAACACACCAAAAAUUGUUUUAGAAGGAAAAAAAAUAUUUUUUUCUGAUAAUAUUUUUUAAAAUAUAUAUAUUUUUAGUCUAAAAUAUUUUUAAAGAAAAAAUCAACCUUUUGAUCAAAUUUUAAAAUAUUAUUAAAAAAUAAAAAUUAUUUAUAAUAUUAAAAAAAUUCAAAAAAAAUAUUUUAAUAAAAACAUUUUAAGUAGAAAUACUAUUUCGUAAGAUACAAGAUAAGAAUCGCACAUAAAAGCAUUAUAAAUUAUUAGAAUCGCAUCGCAUAAAUCAUACUAAAUCUAACAACUAACCAAACUCAUCCUCUCUAAAUUUCAAUUUGGUCUCUUCUCAAUUUAUUUUUGGAUUGCUUUUCAUCUAGAAAUAGCAACCACAUAAAGCAUAGGCCAAAUACUCUAAAAAUAGGUAGAUUUCUCAUUUCUCACAUGUAGCAUCUAGAAAAAAAAACCGGUAGGGUUGGCAGAAAUAUAGGAACCACAUAAAGCAUAGGACAGAUGUUAUAAAGAUAGGCAGAUUUCUCACAUGUUAGCAUCUAGAAAAAAAAACGGGUAUGGGCUGGCAGAAAUAUAGGAAGGUGGUGGUGUGUAACCAAGACUUUCAUUAUCCAAAUUCACAUUCUUAUGGGAAAAACGUGAUUGACUUCGACACUUGAAAAAAAAAAAACAAUGGAAAGAAAAAGGGAAAUCAUCUACCCAAAUACUUGAAUGAUGAAAUCAAAUCUUUGAUCAUAUCUGCUAGUUUGGAAAGUUCAGUUUGACAACUACAUUGAAGAAGAAAAAAAAAAUUAAAACAUUACAGGUUGUUUGUGAUUUAAAAAUAAUUUUUAAUUUUUUAAGAUUUUUAAUAUUAUUUUUGUCAUUAUUUUUCGAAAAUAAUAAUAAUUUUUAAAAAAUAAGAGUUAUUUUUAUCGAUUUUUAAAAAUAAAAAAAAAAUAUAGAUCUGUUUGAUCAUAUUUUCUUAAACUUAUUUUUAAAUUGAUUAAAAUAAAAAAAUAAAAAAAAUAUUAAAAAUACAUAUAAAAAUGGUUUAUUAAUUUAAAAUAUUUUUUAUUUUUUAUCUUCUAUUUUUUCUCAUUAUUUCAUUUUCAUUUUCCACUUCAAAAUUUUCAAUAUUCAACUAUUGAAUUCCGUACACUUUUUUUUUUAAUGAAAAAGAUGAGUUUUGACUUUUGACACUUUUUCAAAAAAGAUGCGUUUUGAUCCCUUCCCUAUAAUAAUAAAAAAAGAAAUAGUAAAUUUAUUGACGUCACUCCAUGCAUCAUCUUCCUUAAAAGUACAAAUCGUCCUCCUCUUCUUCUCUUACUAUGUUUUUUUUUUGUUUUCAAUUUAUUUAAAGAAAAAAAAAAAUCUUUGGUGUCCGGUGGAAUCAAUCGAAUGAACGAGUGGCUUCUAUUAUUACAAAUUUGAAAAUUUGGCUUAUUUUAUUUUUAAAUAUAGAAAAAAGGCUACAUGAUAACUCCAUAAUAUAUGGAACAUGCAUAUGCCACCCUUUUUGACCCUUCAAAUUCUUAUGUUCUCCGUUCAUAAUUUUCACGUGUGUUCAAGGAAGUAGGCAAGCCUACGUUAAACAAUAAAAAAGAUGUUUUAAAUUUUACCAAAAAAAAAAAAAGUCAAAGGAUUUUUUCAAAAGAAUCUUAAGAAGUAAUUGGACAUCUCAAUAAGAAAUUUUUAAAACUAUAAAUGUAAAAUAUUUUGUUGGCAUUUUAUUUAUAAUUUAAUAAACGUUUUCAAACUUUGGGUUUUUGGAUUACAUGUUUGGAUUAGUAAUUGAAAUGUUGGGAAAUAUCAACGAGGUUCGCCAUGAAUAUGGGAUCAAAAGUCAAUAAACGAUGUUUCAUUAGUUAAGGUUGCUGGCUCUCUUGGUCAAACUCCCUAAAAAAAGUUUAAGUUCCAAAAGGUUUGGGUUGAAGCUUGGCUACCACUAGGGUGAAUUCAAUUAAUAUAUGUGCACAAGUAUAUAUUAAAAUCCAUUAUUAAAAAAAUAUUUUAAUAAAUAAAUUAAUUCUACUUAUUUUAUUUAAUUGAUUACUAAAAUAUAAAAACCAUCAUUAUAAUUUUUUAACAAGACUUUUUUUUAUAUCAUUUAUGUGAUAAUUAAAUAUUAAAAAUAUAAAUAGGAUAAAAAAAUGCAUAUAAUUUUGAAUGUUUUUAUUUUAAAAUAUUGAAAAUAUAAAUUUAUUUGAAAAUUGUUAAAAUAUAAUAAUAAUAAUAAUAAUAAUAAUGAAGUUCUAAUAUUUUAUAAAUUAAAAUUAAUUUAAUAAGAUAAAUUAUUAAUAUAAUUUUAAUUAUUUAAAUAAAUCAAUGUCAAUAGCAAAAAGUUGUCACCAUAAGUAAUAAAAUUUUAAAAAUUAAAACUCAAAUAAAAUAUUUUAUAUAAGUCUUAAAAUGUAGUUAAUUUUUUUUAUUUGAAAUGUAAUAAAAUUUUUAAUUUUUAAAAUAAAUGAAUAUAAAUAUAUUAAAGGAAUUUGAGAUCAUUUUUUCUAUAAAAAAAUUUGAUAAAUAUUGUCCUUGACCAUACCUAUGUUAGUUACACCUACAAAAUAACUUUAACAUAUGUUUUUUUACUUAUUUUAUCAUUUAAAACUUUUUUAAAUAUUUUCAUGAAUUUUGAACAAUUUUCGUCUUAUCGAUAUUUCUGAUAUAUCCAUAAAAUUCAAAUACUGAUAUAUUCGUAAAAUCCAAUUAUUGAUAUAUAUAUACAUGUUUAUAGAUAUUUUCAUCUUUGCUUUGGAUGCAUUUUUCUAUUUUUUGUUUUUAAAUAGAAUACUUUAAAUGUAGAGAAAAAUAUAGGAAUUCUUAUAUAAAAAGUAGGUACAUAUCUUGUAUACAUAAAAACACUUUUUAAAUUUUAAAUAAGUAAACAUUUUCACUUCCAAAAAAUUUUAAAGUUUUGAAAAAAAAAUUAAAAUAUAAAGUAAAUUUGGACUUUUUGUAUAAGAGUUGUUAUAUUUUAUAUAGAAAUUUUUAUUUUUAAAAAUAAAAAAUAAGAAGUGUAUCUAAUAGCUAGACACCUAAAGUAUUUUUUUUACAAUUUUAUUUAUACUCUAAUCUAAUGUUUAUAGAUUGAGUUUGUAUUCAAGUUUAUAUUAUGAUCGAUAUAUUAAGGGAUGAAGCUAAAGUAACUACCGAAAUGUUAUUUAGGUGAGAAAUUAUAAAAAUUAUGAUUGUAAUAAAUAUUUGAUAAAUUUUCAUAAUUUAAAAAGUAGUUAACAAUACCCCUCAUUAUUAUUAAACAAAAUAAAAAACAAUGGACAUUAAUUAUAAAAAGAAAAAGAAAAUAUAUCUUAUAUCAAAUUGAAUAAGAAAAAUAUUAAAUACAUUGGUCAAGAAUAUUUUAGAUUUUAUAAAUAAAAAAAAUCAAAAAAUUAAAAGAUUUUUUCUUCAAAAGAAAUUUAAAAAAAAAAAAGUUAAACAUUUCAAUAAGAAACUUCUAAUAAUUUUGUUUUAUUAAAAAAAUCCUAAAAAUAAAUUUUUAAAAAAAUCAAUAAUUCCACUUAUAAAUUUCUUCUCUUUUUCAAAUAGCUAAAGAUAAUUGACUGAGGAAACCUUUCUAAAAAUAUAGUUUGGUGAACUCCACAAGUAAACUAUGAAUAACUAAGAAGAGUUUCGGAGUUAUUGUUUGUAAUUUAUAAAUAUCAUAUUAAGUUAUACAAUUUUUAUAAUUAAAGUUAAAUUCAAUAUCUCGUAAUUUGAGUCAUUACAUAAGAUUGAAUUUAUCAAAUAUUAGAUAACAUAUAAAUUAAUAUUAAUCAUAAAUUCCCAUAAUAUGAAUCAUUACAUAAGAUUACAUCUAUCAAAAAUUAAAUAACAUAUAAAUUCAUACAAUUUUGUUGGCAAUUCUAAAUUAGUGAUUAUUUGAUUAAAUCUCAAAAAAAAAAAUUAAAAAGUCAAAAUCUAGCUAUAAAAAAUUCGCCACUGAAAAAAUUUAAUAAAAUAUUGUUAAAAUAACGAGAAUAGGUAAUUUAAAAAAAACACUAACAGACAAAAAACACAUAAAUUUACGUGAAAAACUCUAAAUGAGAAAAAACACAAGUAGAAAAGACAGAAAUCCAUUAUAUCAAAAUAUUGGUAUAAGAGGGAAAAGUUGCCAGCAAUUACAGAAGAAACAUAAUUAUCCUAAUCCUAAAACUAUACAUCAUCAUAAUCCUCCCAAAAAUCUCAUAAUUAUAGUUUCACUACAUAUGUUGUACCACAAGGUUUUUGAAUCGGAUUAAAUAGAAUUCGGAUUACCAAAUUCUAAUAAAUGUCAACGAUAAAGUUACAAAAAAUUUAUUUAUUAUAAAUUUUAUGGUAUAUAGUGGGAUUUAAAUAAAAUUAAUUAUAUAAAUUUUCAAUAAAAUUAAAUAAAAACAAAUAAAUCAUCGAUAAAACCUAUAUACAUUCAUAUUUAUUUACUUAUUUUUUUUAUUUUGAUCUUCAACAAGUUUUCAAAAAUAAAACAUUCAUUUUUUCAAAUAGAGUUCAAGUGUGACCAUGAUGCAUAUCACCUUUAUGAGAAUUGCAGGCCCACACUCAAAAUUUUAAAUAAAUAUUUUUAAAUAAUAAUAAUAAUAAUAACAACAAAAAGAAUAAUAAUUAAAUAAAUAAAUAUGAAAUGGGAAUUUCGGAAAAUUAUUCUAAAAUGAAAGUUUUAAAAUUAUUUGAGAAAUGGAAUUAUGAAAGGAGUUUUGGAAAAUUGGAGUUAGGAAAAUUGUUAAAAUAAUAAGAAAAUAAAUAAAAAGUCAAAAUCUUAAUGGGGCCAUGUGCCAAAGUGACCACACUUAGAGGUGGGCCAAGGUCGAAAAAGGUUUUCAAAUGAUGUUUGAACAUCCUGGCAGCCCAAAGAAAAAUAAAACAAAAUCUUGCAACGUGCACAUCCAUGAAUUUACAUCUGUGGCCCCACCAUUCAAUAUCACCGCCAAACCAGAAGAAAACCCACAAGUCCGCAGGCCGUCCUAUGCCAUCAGCAAUAAGCACAAGCUCUGAUUUCUCAAAUUACAAAAUAGCCCCACGGAAAGAAAUUCAAUUUCGAAUCUCCACCAAAAACUCCAAUAAUUGCCUAUCGACUUCACCCAAACUGCAAAACACUAAGGCUAUGUUUGAUUUCCGGAAAGUACGAAGGAAAGAAAAAAAAUGCUAAAGAAAAUGAUUUUCUCAUAUUUGAUUAUCCUAUGAAAAAUAUCAAAGAAAAUAAAAUAUAAUUAAAAUUAAUUAAAAAUUUAUAUAUUUUUAAAUUAUUUAAUCUUUAUAUUGAUGAGUUAAAAUAAAUAAAAUGAGUUUGAAGUAACAAAAAAAUAAUUUAUCAACUUUUAAUCUAUUUUUUUAUUUUUCUUCACUUUUUCUUUCCUUCUAGUUUUCCUUUGUAUUUUCUUUCCCUCGUAUUUUCCCUCAAAUUUUCCGGGAACCAAACAUAGCCUAAUAAUUCAACCACCCUCCAGACCACGCGUAGACGCUCCACUUCCACAUAUUUUGGCACGUAUUCUGUCAAGAUUAUUGGAUGCUGCCCAUGAGGCCUGUUAAUUAGUCGAAUGGUUCUCAACCGAGCCUAAAGCUUUGUCGAGUCAUAACCAGCUUCCCCGUGUUGUUGGCUCUCAGUGAGGGAUACUUCGGACUGAAGACCUCUCUACCAUAUCUCUCAUAAUGUAUCAUGGGCAGAGAAGCAAUGGAGAUUGGAUUGAUUCUUCUUGCUUUCAGGAGCUCUAUUAACUCCAAUUCCAACUUAACUGGAAAUUCCGAACCAAUAAGAGUUAUGGGACCCGUACCCACACCGGAAUUUUCUACUAUCGUCUCCGGAUAACACGCCACCGCAUGGGUCAAUCAGGUUCGUUUUGUAUGCUGUCACUGUAAAUACUCUGAAUAAUCCCCCAAAAAUCUCAUAAUUAUAGUUUCACUACAUAUGUCAUACCGCAAACUUUUUGAAUCGUACUAAAUAAAAUUCGGAUCACUAAAUUCUAAUAAAUGUGACAAAGUUACAAAAAGUUUAUUUAUUAUAAUUUUUAUGGUUUAAGUGGGAUUUAAAUAAAAUUAAUUUAAAAUUUUUCAAUAAAAUUAAAUAAAAACAAAAUAAAUCAUCGAUAAAAACUAUAUACAUUCAUAUUUAUUUACUUUUUUUUUUAUUUUGAUCUUCAACAAGUUUUCAAAAAUAAAACAUUCAUUUUUUCAAGGGAGAAUUAUCUUUUGGGGGUAGAUGGGCCCUCAAAUUAACAAAAGGUUCAUAUAACUCUUGAAAUUGAGUUGAAGGAUAUGAAAUAAUAACGGACAAAUAUACCCUUUAGGAACACAUAUAAAAUAUUUUAUAAAAUUAAGUUAAAUAAUUUUUUUUCAAUAACUUUUUUUUUUUCAAAAAUACUAAAUUAAAUAAAAGUAGUUUUCAAAAAUAUUAAAUUAAAUAAUUUUUUUUUUCAAAAAUAUUAAAUUAUUUUUUUUUCAAAAAUAUUAAAUUAAAUUAAAGUAUUUAAAAAAAUAUUAAAUUAAAUAUUUUUUUAAAUAUUAAAUUAAAUAAAUUUAUUUUUAAAAAAUAUUAAAUUAAAUAAAAGUAUUUUAAAAAAUAUUAAAUUAAAUCAAAAAUAUUAAAUUAAAUAAAAGUAUUUUUCAAAAAUAUUAAUUUUUUUCUCAAAAUCAACAAAGGGUAUUUUUGGAAAUAUUGAAAGAUGAUAUCCUUCAACUCAAUUUCUAUACUUUCAUUGGGUCUUGGGCUCAAUUUGAAGAGUUACAUGGACCUUUUGUUAAUUUGGGGGUCCAUCUACCCCCAAAACAUAAUUCUCCUUUUUUUCAAAUAGAGUUUCAAGUGUGACCUUGAUGCAUAUCAUCUCUAUGCGAAAUGCAGGCCCACCCUCAUGGUGUUCUCUAUUCCCUACUAAAAUAAUUAUUCCUUAGUGGAGCUAAAUAUCCCCAACUCAUUGAGGCAUCCCCAACAAUUGUCAUUAUUACAUCCUUUAUUUCCCAACAACUUUCAUGAAGAGGUAAAGGUACUUUGACAUUCUGCCUAAUAUAGCCAUGGUAAGGCUUCUUAUGAGCAUUUUGCAGUUUGGUUUGUGUAUGGGGAUCAAGCAACUUUUUAAUGUAGAGAAGACUAUACAUUGUGCUAGCAGAUUCUUCAAUGCAAACAUGUUAAUAUAAGAAUACAAACCUUAUAUUUUUAUCUACCAUAUAUUGAUAGGGAUAUUCCAAAUAGUUUCCAAUAUUCUAUAAGAUAUUUAAUUGUAAUGACAUAUACUUAGGAAUUUGAGAUACUUUCUAAUAAUUUUAGUCUCGUAUCAAAUUCAAUUAAGUUAAUCUUUCAUCUUUUCAUGAUACACGCUUUCAAAAGACUUGUUUUAACCAAAUUCUAACUCCACAUCAUGACCAAAUCUUUACUUCACAUCAUAACUUCUUUAUACGCCACACUCUCCUCAUGUGUCACAUGGUUCCUUUUGUGCACCUCAUGUGUCACAUGGUUCCUUUUGUGCACUAUAGUCUUAUCAUGUGUCACGAUUCCCUCGUGUGCUAUGGAUUUAAAAUCAUUUUUUUCCAUUUUAAACAUGUUAUUUCUUUAUAGCAUUUACUGUCUUUUUCAUUCAAGUUUCCUUUUCCUUUACUUUUAGUAGGACAUUGUUAUAAAACUCUACCUCUCACUUGGUCCGUAGGUUCCUUAUUACACUACCAACACACGCUCUAUUCAAAUUAUAGUCUAGUCUCAAUGUUAAUUUUGCAGAGUUAGACGAUACCCUUACGUGUAUUUCACCCUUGUUUGGAUGGCAAAAAAAAGUUUAGGAACUCACAACGAAGUAGGGAUUGAUGUUGAAUUUGUUAUGGGAUGAUGAAUAGAAUACUUUCCUUCUUACUCCUCUAUUCUACAUAAAUGCACAUACGGACAAGUUCGGUAUAAGUUUGUACUAACUCAAUUGGUAAGUGUCACUUUUUUAAUUAAUAGAUGUUGACAAUUUUGUCUUAAAUUAUAUAUUUUAGUUUUAGGAAAAUCGGUAUAUGUAGAGUUUAGCUUUUAGAAAACUCCCUUUUUAGGUUGACUAAGACUAGGAACUUAUUGUUUAGGAUUAGGUCUAUAAAUAUGUGGCCUACAUAGGAUUUUUUUAAGAGAGUGAAAAGAAAGUAAGUGCAUCCAAUUAAGUGAAAUUGUGUCCUUUUUCAUAUUUAGUAGAUUAUUUAACGUUUGAGAGACCACAUUUGUGUGACUGAUUUAUUUAUAUUUGCAUAAGAAUUUUACUCUCUUUAAAGAAUAAGUAUAAAGAGACAAACUUAAAAUAGGUAAUAAAAUAUUAAUUUGGGGAUUAAUUCAAAGACCACACCUUCUCUAUUUCACUUUAUUUUUUUACUGCAUUUGGAUGUUGUGAUUUUCCUAAAAAGUGGUAUCAGAGCCGUGCAGAGAUAAUGGAAAAAUUAUUUUGAUGAAAAUGUCUAACAUAAAAUAUAAUAUUGAGUUCUUUGAUGGAAAUAAUAAUUUUAGUAUUUGGCAAAGUAUUAUUAAAGAUAUUUGGGUACAACAAGAACUUCUCAAAGUGUCACAAUAAAAAAAAAAAAAAAAAAAUCAGAGAACAUGAAGAUUAAUUAGAAGCAAGAAUGGUAAGUGCUAUUUAUCUAAUUUUGAUUCCUAAAAUAAAAUACAUUUUUUAAAAAUGAGAGAUCUCUUUUUUAUUUAUGAGAAAAUUUAGAGAAAAUUUAUAAGCCAAAAUUCUUAACACAUAAAUUAUAUUUGAAGAAACAAUUAUAUGAGUUGAAGAUAGAUGAAGGAACAAAUGUUAGGAAUCAUACAAAUAAAUUCAAUAAAUGCAUGACUUAGUUAUUAAGGGUAGUGGUCAAGAUUGAUAAGAAUGAUCAAGCUAUUAUUUUCUUAGUGUCUUUACGAAAUUAUAUGAGACAUUGGUGAGUACACAAUUAGUUAGAAAGAUGAUAUUAACCAUUAAUGAUCUAUCAACUACCCUUUAAAUAUUGACCAACCAAGUAAUUCGUCUUGUACCGCACAAGCUUUUGUGGUGAAGUUUGAAUCAAAUCGUGAUAAGAGUAAAUCACAAGGAAGAUAUUAUGAUAUGAGGGAUGAUUGUUCUCAACCACACUUCUAGAGGGAUGUGGAGUUUUACUAUUGCCUCAAAAAAUGACAUAUCAAAAAGUACUAUAAAGAAUUGACAAAACACUUAGAAUCAAAGAGGUAAGCUAAAUUCUAGGAGACUUCAAAUUUUACUAAUAUUGUUGAUAAAAAGUUUGAUACAGAUAAUGUUGUUCUUUUUAUUAUAAUUGAUGAUUUUUUUUUUUUUUUUUUUUACUUUUAGAUUUUGGAUUUUGAAUGUUCUUUUCAUAUGUACCCAUAUUAUAAGUGGUUUGAUACCUAUAAGACUUGCGAUGCUAUUACUAUUAUAAUGGGCAAUGAUUCAAACUAUAAAGCUAUUGGGAUUAGUAUUGGGAAGGUGAAGAUAUUGGAUGGUGUUGUGAGGAUAUUGAGUAAUGUUAAGUAUGCUCCUAAGUCGAGGGGGAGUUCAAUUUCUUUGAAGACUUUGGACAAUUUCAACCAUGACUUUUUUGCUAAAGAAGACAUUAUGAAUAUUAGUAAAGGUGCUUUGAUAAUUAUGAAGGAAGAAAGGUGAAAAUUUCAUACACUUUGAUUGAGAAUACAAUUUUAGAUGCAAUUAUGAUGGUGAAGUCAUGCCAUGAAGUGUCUUAUGCUAGUGUUAAAGAAAUUGUCAUAGCAGAAGAGCACAAAAAAAUACUGGUAGUAGAUGAAAAACACAGAAGUGAGAUGAUCAAGGCUUUGUUUUUGGUUAAAAAUACUUAGUGGCACAAAGAUAAAGACUAAUUGAAAAAGAAAAGUUAUGAAAAAAAGAAUGUUCAUCGAGUCAAAGCUAAUGAGAGACUGAACUUGACAUAUACUUAUUCUCAUUGAUUAUGUGGUGGUGGCAAGGGGUGCAAAGAUGGGUAUCAAGGAAAAAUAACCCUACAUAUAGAUUGAGAAUUUGAAUCAAGAUGGAGAUUAUUAGUAAUUUUGACUUAAAUUAUUUAUUUUUUAUUUUUAGGAAAGCCAAUAUUUGUUGAGUUUAGGUUUUAGUAAAUUACUUUUUUAAAUUUGACUAGGAUUAGGAAACUUAUUUUUAAGGUUAGGUAUAUAAAUAUAUGGUUUUACAUUAGAUUUUAGGAGAAAGUGAAAAAAUGAGCGAAAAAUAUAGAAAGAUAGACAAAUUAUGUAUUGGGUUUUGGUAGAGUGACGUUGAGAAGGUUUGAGUAUAUAUUUUUUAAGUUACUAAUAAAUUUGAUCUCUCUCUCCCAUGAAAUCAUGUAAAUCUUUUAUCUUCUCUAUUUUACUUUAUUCUUUAUAUUGUCUUUGGGUGUUGCAAUUUCCCAAUAAUAGAAUGGUUUGAUCUUAUUUUGUUUCUAAGUAAAAUGUAAAUAAGUUAUCAGGUUAGCAAAUUAUUCAUAUACAUUAUUUUUUUUAGUCAUAUCAUCCAUGAACUUUUUCAAGGUGGCAACCUAUUUGGAAAAACCACAUUUGAUUUAAAAAAAGGAGAAUUGUGUUUUGGGCCAAUUGGGCUCAAAAAUUAAUCAAAGAUCCAUAUAUCAUGCACAUUUAAGCCCAAGACUCAAAUAAAGUGUAAAAAAUUAAGUUGAAUGAUAUUAUCCUUCGUUAAUCCCUCAAAUACCCUUAACACCUACAUAGAUAUAUAGUAAGUGUAAAUUUCAAUUUUUUUUUAAGUGUUUUUUUCUCUUUUCUAUUCCCAAUUAAGUAUUACUCAUUUCUAACUUUUUGUUUUUUCUUUUCUUUUUUAAAGAUAUUGAAUCUUUUUACUCUUAUUAUAAGUAAGGAUAAAAAAUCUUCAUAUAAAAUUUAAUGGAUAAUCAAUGAAUAAAAUUUAAUUCUUUUUAUUAUUUUCAUAUAAAAAAUAGUACUAAACAAGGGUUUCAAUUUUUAUUUUUAAAAAUAGUUUUCAUUUUUUAAUUAAAUGUUUUUUCAAAAAGAAAUAUAAAAAUAUAAAUCAUAUUACCAUUUUUUAGAAAGUAUUUUUUUUAAAUAGUUUUUGAACGUAAUUUUUCUUUAUUUAUAAUUUAAAAUAGAAAAUAAUGUUGAUUUCAAUUAUUUAAAAAAAAUUAAAAAAAAACAAUGAAAAAUCCAAAUGGUUAAAAUAGAAUUAUUAUGAUUGCAUGAAUCGUAGUGCUAUAAAGACCAAAAAAGUUUAUAUGAAAAGUUAAUGAGUAUUUUGAUCUUUUGAUAUCUUAUAUCAUUUCCAUCAAUUAUGUAAGUUAUAUGGACGAAAUCUUAAUUUUUUUGUCUAACUCGCUCAAAAUUCCAUUAUCCCUUUAAAAAAUAAAAUAAAAAUCAAAUCCUCCUUAAACAAAGGAAAGAAAAAGAAACAACAAAUCUUGAAGUGAGGUUUCAACAGAUCUUUGUUCAAUAAAGCAGCCAAGCAUUAUGGGGCUUAGUUGAAAGUACUCAUUUUCAUGAGUCCAAACAAUGAAAGAUUUGAUAUCCAGAAGCAUUCACCUAGUCAAAAAAUUUAAUGAGUUUUUCAGCUUGGUAGAGUCAGGUCAAAUCCACAUGUAGUGAUUCUACAAUUCAGAAUAUAACUGCUUCACUUGGAAAUGAUCAUCAGGAUACCAAUGCAUGAGCACCAAAUCUUCUGAACUACUUUUCUUCAUGUGUCCAGCGUAUAAGUAGAAAAUGGAUCAGUAAGUGCAGGCAUGGAACUGUUGGCAAUAAGUCUGAUCUCUCUGAAGAAGGCCUAAGCUUCCCUUUUUGCUAGUUCAAGUCUAUAGAUGUAAUAGUUCUUGGAAAUGGUAUCUGAUUUCAGACUGGUUGGUGUUGAAACCAUACCAUUUUCUUGCUGUCAUUGUGUCUUAAUGUUUUCAGCUACUUAAAGAAGAGACUGAAAGUGGGGCACCAUAGUGGUAAGUUGGUAAUCGGGGAUGAAAGAAAUGCUCAAGGUUGUAUCAGUCUUGAAUUUCAAAUUGCAUAAAAUUGGCAGAAAAAAAAAUACAAGAAUUUAAUAAGAUAGAUGUUACCUGCUCAUUGCAGGGCUAUGAAAACUCUCUAAUAGCCUAUACAUCAAACGAAACCAGUUUUUUUCAUCUUAAAAUCAAAUGUGGAACUGAAAAGGUUACACACAUAUACAUUAACCAAGAGUCUCUGAAGAACUUUUGCUCCGUGUGACUUCUUAUCGCCUUUGGAAGUUCAAUGCCUUAAUGGCAUAGGCAAAGAUAAAUAAGAAAAGCACCACAAACCCAACGACCACAGCUGCAACCACUCCUAGGAAAUCAUGUUUGAAUCCAAAGUAGUCAUUCAAGUAGUCUUUCACUGUUACACCUGUGUUUAGUUCUUCUGUUAUAUCUCCAAACUGUGAUGUAACCAAUCCAUACAAAGUCCAUGAAACUGGGCAUAUCCAAUAGUACCAUCUCCACCACACGGGUAUUCUCUGUAUUCAUCAAGGAAGAAAUGCAUCAAAAUGAGUCAUUCCUGUAUCCAUGUGGCUAAAGAAAGUUGCAAUUUAAAGAACUAUGGGUUGAGAGCACUUACAUUUCGUGGGACUAUAAAACCUGAAAAGAGGUUCCACAAUCCAUAAAAUGCUGCGGCAACAAUGGAAGCGAUAUUUUGAUUUGGUGUGGCAGCCACAGCCAUCAUGCCAUAGAAGGUGAAGUACAUUAAGGUGAAGAACAUGAAAAACAGAUACCAGAAGAACUUAGCGGCUGUCCAUUGAAAUCCAAUCAUUGCAUAAACUAUAAGACCAUACACCACGGCUUGUGAAAAGAUAUAUGGUAUCUCAACUAAAGCCUGCAACAAGAGAUGAGAUUUGAUUAAUAAAACCUAUGAAGUAUUAGAGACAGACAAAGUCUAUAGCAUAAGAAAACUAGUUACCUGUGCAAAGGCAUAUGACAGUGGUGAAUACAUUCCUGCAGCUCUUUCUCUGUAAAAGACUGUUCGUUCAACUACCACAACUGGCUGCACUGACUGGGAAUUUUGAAUCCCAAGGAAGAGAACAGCAGCAUACAUUGAACCCAUUGCAUUAAACAGAUCUUGUUGCGUUGACCUGCAUUUUACCACGUGAAGUAUAAAUCAAUGUUGAUAAAAAAGAAACAUACAGAGUUCUCAAAUUUUUGAACUGACUUCAAAUUACCAUUUGGUGCCCAGAUCCCAGAACAUUGUCCCAAACAUCAAGGCUAUGAAAGUUGUGAAGAGAAAUCUCACUGCCGUGUAUGGUGGGUUGCGCCAGUAUGACCAACGCUGUUUCCAUAAGCAUGCCAAAAAUUGGGUGAAGAAGGGCUGGGAGAAUUGAGUACGGAAAUAGAGGUCCUUUGUACCAGGGGGAGGUUGGCUCAGUUCUUUAAUUAAAUCUUUGUUUCUCCUGAAACAUAUGCCACUUGUUAGAAAAGGUUUCAACAACAAAUUUAAGUUUUCAUGAGAAACAUUAGGAUGGCUGUAUAUUAUUUUUCAAUCUUAUAAUGCAAUUAGAUAACCUAUGGUUGAAUCACCUGUAUAGGUCCGAAUUCUUGUAUAUUUCAGUGAAAUCGACCCCCAAAGUUGCUUCUUGUGCUGCGGUGGUAGCUUCCAGCAUCCAGGUUGCAGGGUUAUAACCAUCUUUGAUUUUACUGACUCCUUCAAUUCCCUUUAUGAAAGAAAGUGAUAUGCAUUAGUGAGCGCUUAAUAUGAAUUAACUCAAACUGAAGUAUUCACUUCUUAUAGCUUCUACUUCAUCAUGGCAGCUUACCUCAAAAUAAUUUAUCAGAUGGCAAGAAUAUCUGCCUAGUGGUCCCACAUAUAUCUCUUGUCCUCCUCGCUUCAGCAGGAGCAACUGCAAAUCCAUUUUAAAUAUUUCAGUACUUAUAUGCAAAGAUCAUAGAAGGGAAACUAUAAAUUCUUUCCAUCCAUUAACAUUUUCUACCUCAUCAAAGGCUUCAAAUAUGUCAAUACUUGGUUGAUGGAUGGUGCACACAACUGUUCUUCCUGUGUCCACUGUGUUCCUGACUGUUCUCAUAACAAUUGCAGCAGCUCUUGCAUCUAGCCCUGAAGUUGGCUCAUCCAUGAAUAUUAUUGAGGGAUUUGCCACAAGCUCAACAGCAAUGGUCAGCCUCUUGCGCUGCUCAGUUGAGAGACCACUUACACCUGGCAACCCAACUAGUGCAUCCCUCAAUGGGGUCAGUUCCACAAGCUCCAUGACUUCCUCAAUGAACAUCUGUAACCAUUGGCAAGGAUUAGAAAUUGUUUAAAAAACAAUGCAAAACCAUAGUAGAGAUGGUGAAAAUUUUGACAGUGCUUGGGACUCUUUACCGUCAGCAGGUUGUGAAUUCUCCAGUCUUAUUAAACAGAAGAGUUAAAAAAUGCAAAUGCUUAAUAACACUCACUAGCUUGCAUGAAAUUCACCCACUUGGGAAGGCAGGUCAAUGAAAUUUGAACCAGGAAAGGUCAAGCCAAACUUUAACCUGAUCUUAGCUCAACCAAGUUUGAAAAACCAAUUCUAGGGCCUUGCUUGUUUAGAGCAUUAAAUUGAAUAAGAAAUGCGGAAACAACUCAAGAAACCCUCACCUGUCUGGUUUCAGAUUUCACAUCAGAAGGCAACCGCAACCAAGCUGAGUAGAGCAAGGACUCAUAGACAGUAACAUGAGGAGAGUGGAUGUCAUUCUGCUCACAGUAUCCAGAAAUUCGAGCAAAAGUCUCCUGCUUCUUUGGGUAGCCAGAAAUGGUGAUGUUGCCCUCAAUAUAUCCACCAGUUUUUCGACCAGCCAAUACAUCCAUGAGGGUGGUUUUACCAGCACCACUAACCCCCAUCAGAGCUGUAAGAACACCAGGCCUGAAAGCACCACUCACCCCCUUCAGAAGCUCCAAUUUGUCUUCAACAACACCUUGACUUUUCAUCUCCUGCAAAUUCAUUUCAAACAACUCAGUUCUCAUUUUUGGUUUAUAGUACAUUAUGACAAAACUUCAGUGCUGAUAAAACAUACACAUUAUUUGCAUAAAUAUGAAGUUACCUCUGGCAUGUCAACUGAGUAUCUAAUAUCAUCGAAGGUAAUAGAAUAUGGUUGGAAUGGAAGAACCAUUCCUUUCUUCUUGUUAUGGUUAGCCCCCGCAACAGCUUCUUCCCUAACAGCUGAGGAUGUGGAUGAGAUGCUUCUCCCAAUUUCCUCUCCUCUCUCUGCAUGUCAAGUUCAAAUUUAAUGAGCCAAAUAAAAACAUGUAGUUGAAUGACAAGAACACAGGCACACAAAGGCACAUGCACCAUGUAUGAGUUUCAUCACCUGUGGAUGCAGCUUGGUCAAUAGAGCUAUUUCUCUGGGACAACUCAAUCUGUCCUCCAGUUUCGGCAUUGUCAGACUCUUCUACUAUAACAGCUUGAGGCUUAUCAAAUGCUGCACAAUUUGCACAAUAUUAAUACACAAAGCUCCAAUUUUUACAAGUUUCAAUGCAGAGAAGGAAGAGAUACCCACGAUUUAGGAAAUUGAGGCACAAAGUGUAACCGAAAUUGAAGAGAAGUAUGAACCCAAACAGUGCCCCAGCUCCUAUCCAGUACCAGUAUGCCUCUGUGAAGAACCCACGAUUGUUCAAUACUGUGACUCCAAGGGAUUCUGUUGAACCAGUAACAUUCUGAAAAAUGGAAAUAGAUUCAAUCAUCAGUUACUGACAGGCAUAACAUAAACAAACAAAAAUAUUCACAUGGAACAUUCAAUAACUUACUUUCUUCCAACUGUGCCCAAGGAAUUCAUUUACCACUAUUGCGUUUUGCGCAUACAUCAGAGGGGAACACCAGUAACCCCAAAUCCACCAUUUCUUGACAUCAUCUGCAGCAUUGACCAAAUACGAAAAGGAAACAAAAAUUCAUUAUUAGGGGUUAUGCACAAGAAGGUUCUAUGUUUCCUAAAAAAAUAUUUCCUCAUCAUACCAUGUGACAGGAUAAAACCACCCAAUGCCAAGAGCAUAAGUAAAACAAAUGCCCCAAAUGUGUUUGAAACAAUCAUGUUUCUACCAGCUGAUGCUAUCAAUCGAAAUAAUCCAGAUGCCAUCUGAUUAACAAGCAAGAGGAGAAGAUACUGUCUAAACAACCUGCAAUAAGGAGAUUUGUUUAUUCAGCAUUAAUCAUUUUGGAACAGAGAAAACAUGUAAAAGAAAUCUGGAUAAGUUUCUACAACUUCAUAACUUUUUAACUUUUACCUUUCCACAUUUGGAUCAAAUCCAAUGACAUAAUAAGUCAUGAACACCCAAACACCAACUUCAAUAAAUGUGAUGGGGAUCUUGAGGAUCCAUGUGGGAAGAGCAUAUGCCCAUGCAGGAUAGAAGAGUAGGUCUCUUUGCUUGUAAAAGACAGGAAGUUUUGCAAUUGCCAUGGCAAGUUCUGCCAUUCCAUUAAACAUUAUCAUGACAACAGUGAAGAACAAAGCACCCGUAUAAAUGUUUCCAUCAUCUACUGAAUUUUUGUGCAUCUCAGUUCUUAGGAAGAGUGUCAUUGUAAUCACUGCCAUUAUUGCAAGCUAAAAACAGAAAUAAAAAUUAUAAAUUACGAUCACAUAUAGAUAAUUAAAAGUCAUUGUUAAAAGUAACAAUAAUAAUAAUACUCACUUGGGUGAGCUUGAAAACAUAGACAAAUGAGUUCCUCUUCAUCAGCAAGUACUCCCUUGACAUGUUGGCAUCCAACAGUUCCUUCUUAUUAACACCAUACUUUUUGGUUGUCAAAGCAGCUGGGUGGCUUUUCGUCUUGUCGUAUGGAGACGCAAGCUCAUCUCCUACUUUCCGUCCAGUGUGAAAUGACUGGAAUGCCUCAGCAAAUUCCUUGACUGUGACAAACCUGUAAGGCUCUUCUUUACGUGCCCAAUACUGCUGCUGAUCUUUCUUAGAUGUUACCUGCAAUGAUUUUUAAAGUUCAUGUUCUAGCUCAGUUUUUUUCUAAAGAUGGAAAAAAAAUGAGAAGAUACCAAAAGCUACAAAGCAACUUGCACUCACUUCUUGUAGGAAGUCUGCCACACCCUUCCUUUCAGGACAUCUGAAGCCCGUGGAUUCAAAAAAUUCAAGCACGUCUUCACGAGGACCUUGAUAAAUGAUACGACCAUCAGAGAGGAGAAUGAUGUCAUCAAAAAGAUUGUAAGUCUCAGGUGCUGGCUGGAGGAGAGAUAUGACAGCAGUCCCAUUGAGAAUGUGAAUGGUUUGCUUGAGACAAUUCACAAUUUGAAAAGUUGUUGAACUGUCCAAGCCAGUAGAGAUCUCAUCCAUAAACAGUGCCUUUGAUGGUCCGACCAGCAUCUCACCUAUCAGUCAUGCAUUCACAUAAUUGAAUUAAAUUAACUCAGCAAACCAAAAAAUCUAAUUUUUUGGUUUUUUCUUUUGGUUAGAAACUAAAUAAUCCUACCUGUUGUGACACGCUUCCGUUGUCCUCCAGAGAUACCCCUUAUCAUUUCAUCUCCUACCAUGGUAUCUGCACAGAUGUCUAGUCCCAGAAUCUGUAAAUAGAAGAAUAAAGAUGAAUAAACAAAGUAUAAGUUAGAAUCGGGUUUUCUCAGCAAUCUGUAUGCCAUCAUUGACAGUUUUAUGGUUAUAAUACCUUCAGUGUAUAAUCAGUGACCACAUUUUCCUUCUGGCCUUCAGUUGCCGCUGCCUGAAAUAUUAGAAACCAAUAAUGAAAAUGUCAACCACCAUGGAAGCAACUUCAGUACAUUAAGAACUUUCAUAGAUAAAAGAUUCUGACACAGCAUAAAAUUCACAAGUAAGAUUGACUCAAGCCAUUCAUUUUAGUACAAAAAGAAACAAACAAACUCCAGAACAGACAGAACAUUGACGAUACAAAGCCAUUUUGUCUAUGUCAGAAAUCAAAAUUUUCAUUCUGGAGAAGAGUGGUAUCCAUGUUCACUAAAAACAAAUAGCUCAAAUUCAGCAGAACUGGUCAAAAUUUUUACUGAAAGUAGAUUCUCUCUCACCUUCAUGAAGACAUCAAGAUCAGGAUCAGGCUUAAUAUUUGCUGCUUUCUCUCUCCUUGAGAGCUCUGCUAACAUGUCUGAGGAUAGCCAAAAUAAGAAUCAAUCUCCUGGCCUAUGCUAAUGUCAUAGAACUACAUUCACAACCUUCAAAAACAGAGAAAAUAAAAAGUGAAGGCAACGGUUUAGACUAACCAUAUCGAUCUCCAACACCCUGGCAUCUUGCAGAGAAGGCCAAGGUUUCCCGUACAGUCAUUUCUCCGAUAUGGGUAUCAUGUUGGCUGAUAUAGGCGGCAGUUCUCUGGGGUACAAACUCAUCCAUGCCAUGACCGUUGUAUGUCACCCUUCCCGUAACCUAAGGAAUAAAUUUCAGUUUUCAAAUUGGAUAUGAUAUUAAAGAUCUAAAAAUCGAAUAUUCAUCAAAGAACAAAAGCAAUAGAAUUUUUUUUUUCAUUCAACCUUAAGAGUGGGAUCAAGCUUUCCGGACAAAGCCAGUAAGAGAGUGGUCUUUCCAGAACUUGGAGGACCCAAAAGUAAAGUCAUUCUGCAGGGACAAAAAAUGCACAAAAAAUUGAGUAUGUAUCUUCAGGACAUUCUAAAUAUGAGAAAGGAAAAAUUCAGUUGAUUUAUCAAUCAAUUUUUCACUAAAAAUAAAUUCAUAUUCUCACCUUUGAGGUUUGAUGAUUCCACUAACAUCAUGAAGAAUAGUGAAUUUCCUCCUUCUACUCGGAAGAAUCCGAAGACCGGUCAAGGCAUCCUUUAAAACAGAAGGAAAAAUUAUAAUCUGAAGACAAACUUACCUAAAAGAGUAUUUAUUGCAUAGCUAAUGCUCCGUAUAUUGUAGUUACCUCGAUUUUAUUGAACAUAAAAUUAUGGAAUGAAGGCAAAGCUCUGCUUCCUAUAAAAGCUUCUGCAUCGAUGGUAAGAUGCUCAAAUCUAACUUCAAUUUCAGGAAUAGUAAUCCCAACUCUGAAAAAAUGGAAGAGACAGGAAAACCCAUUACUAAAGAGCCAAAGGAAGAUGAUGUUUGGCUCUGGAGAAAAUGUAGGAAACACCCAUCAUGCAUAUUUAAGGUGAAUUCUUCCUUUUCCACUGUUUCAAUGUUCAAAAAACGGCAAGCAACGAAGAAAGGAGGAGAAAUCGUACCUCUCGAUACGAUUCCUGAGCCUCAACAGGAACUUCUCAUUGUCUUCUUCUGCAAUUUUUACCAACCGCUCCAUUAAACUCUGCUUUUCCUGAUACCCAAGGUUGUCUACAUCAACUUCACUGGCCGCACCCUGUGAUCCCAUCAGCAAACCUUUCCUCAACCGAUUGUAGGUGGGAAGUUUCUCGAGGGCGGCCCAUUUCAAAGCUUCCUCAUCAUCCUCAUCCCUUGAAGACCGGGAGAAAACAUCCGCACCAGAGCUCCUCCACAUAGAACCAUUCCUCCUUAAACUACCAGCGGCUCUAUAAAUUUCAGCCGUCGCCAUUGCAACACGAAACCAAGAACCCUCCUGCAAAACCCACCAAAACCCAGAAACCUUUCCUAAAAAUUCAGGAAAAGAAACUCGGAUUUCAAAUUCCCGAGCUGAAAAAGCUCAAAAUCAGAGAUGGGCCUCCUCCUCUCUUUUCUCUAUGCAUACAAUUCCGCCCCUUUCUGUAUUCCAAAUAUCUUUCUGUAU